rnacentral:tRNA from 1 species
GGUGCUAUAGCUCAGUGGUAGAGCACUUGCCUAGCAUGCAUGAGGCACUGGAUUCGAUCCUCAGCACCA